UCCUCAAUCCUCCCUACUCAUCCUCAACCUGGAAAGGACAUCAGUCCGUCAAUUCCGCCUGUGGUAGCGUCAAUGGAUUGGCUAUAGAUCACUUAGUACCGAGGACUUGUUACUGCACAAGCUCAUCGUGAAGAAAUAAUCUUGUCAUCCGAGGGAGUUCGAUUAUUAUCUCAACAGUCAUACUGGCAUUCAGGGAACUAACGGCCUACACACUACCAUGUCAUGCAUGAUGAAAACAAAUUCUCCCUUGAUUACUUGCAAGUGGGAACAGACAACCUAUACUGGGUAACGUAUGCCUUUUUAUUUGGUUUUUGCACUUGAGCGAUGCAAUAUGAAGAUAAUGUUUUGUUGCUGACUUUCUGAUUGUAUGUCAUAUAACUUUAUAGUUAUAAAGUAAUUCAAAUAUAUUGUGACUAGAAUUGUUAUAGUUUUAUAAUUCCAGUUCUAAAAGUCUUCUAAUUUAACUCUCUAAUCCUCUAAUCAGAUAUAGUAAGCCGCAUUCUAAAAGAGUGAAAUCAUACAUCAUUGAAAGAUUCACUUUCUUGAGGUUAUCCUCCCUUACACUC